UUUACACCCAUUUCUAGAAUGAUUCCCAACAUUCCUUCAUUUAUUCCUUUAUUUAUUGAAUAAAUAAUUAUUAAAUGCUUGUCAUGUAUGUUCCAGGCUUUGCUCUAGUAAUUUCGGAUAUAUCAAUGAACAAAGCAGGAAAGAAAAAAAAAAAAGGCAAAAUCUCUGCCUUCCGGGAGCUCACAUUCCCACAGGAGUCACAGGAAACAGCCAAUGACCAGUAAGCAUCACAAAGAAGUCAUGCCAAAGAACCAGACAAAUAGCUGGAAGGAAGAGGGGAACUCCUUUGUGACGCCAAAUGGGCCAAAGGGUCGCUGGGAAAACUAAGCCUUACUGUCCAUCUUGCCUUCAGGAUAAUGUGAAAUAUGGCCUAAUUUUUGAAGUUUUUUUCUUAGAAAUUUUACUGAAUCCAAAAUAAAACAAGAAGAUCAUGGUGGAUAUAGCUUCCAAAUUUAUUCUGCAAUAAAACAGAUGGCAGUAGAGUUAAAGAAAAAAAUCCCAGCAGUUCUUUGUACAGGGAUUUGGUGAUUUUUCCCAUAAAGCUGCGAUGAGGAUGAACUCAGAGCAAAAUCUAUAAUAUUAUGUGUCCAUUAACAUGAUGAUGACAUGUGAAAAUGUUUAUGGAUGAAUUUUAAAUUAAAAUGUCAAGCUAUAAAAUUUUAUAUGGAGUAAGAUCUCAUCUUGGUUGGAAGAAAAACACAUUCUGGAGGAACUAAAAAUAAAAGGGGGAGUUUUAUACCUGGUAUACUAUUUGUAGCCUUCGUAGAGGGUUCUCCAUUCUAGUCACACCGAUUUCCUCUCUGCUGCAGACAUUGGACACUGGCCUAGUGUUCCAGAAGCUCUGAGUUCAGAGUCCUCAUGUACUAAUGCCAGCAACAGUCAGUUUCACAGUGCCUCUGGCCAGCUGCACUCUUAUGCAACUCAACAAUUUCUCACCUUUUCUCCUUUUAAAAACAAUAUAAGCAACAAAACCACCCAGCUCCCACUGCUGCAUAACCCAGAAGUAUUGGAAAGAUCACUUCAUACAAUUCUUGAGGCAAUCCUGCAGGAUCAAGCAAUUAGGUCCUUGGAGUGGUGGCCAGCUCAUCAAAGCCUCUUUGUACUGGUGCUUCCCCUGAUCCUGUUUUGUUCCCUUGUCCCUCUUUCCUGCUCCUAGCUAGGAUCACAC
rnacentral:lncRNA from 10 species